CAUUUUGUCGCCGCCUAUCGCCGACCGUUGGUUCCAUCGUCAUCCGACGCUACGGCUAUCCCCAUGGAUAAAACAUGAGACUGUGACUUGGGCAUAGUCAUUCUAGGCCUAGGUUGGGCUUGGCAAGUAUGCCUGUGGUAGUGUUUGGUAGGCUAAACGAAGAGGAAUAUGUCAAACGAAAUGGAUGCCUCAAAUGAGAAAAAUGGG
rnacentral:lncRNA from 1 species